UCGCGAAAACUUCACAAUGGGGGAAACCCCGAUGAGGGAAUUCCAAGUGCCAGCACAUUGUGUUGGCUGUUCUCUGGUCUAAAAAACCGGAGAAGUAAGGGCCGGGUAAGACGGGUGCCAGCCGCCGCGGUAAUACCCGCGGCCCAAGUGGUGGUCGAUAUUAUUGAGCCUAAAACGUCCGUAGCCGGUUUUGUAAAUCCUUGGGUAAAUCGACCAGCUUAACUGUUCGAAGUCCGGGGAGACUGCAAGACUUGGGAUCGGGAGAGGUGAGAGGUACUUCUGGGGUAGGGGUAAAAUCCUGUAAUCCUAGAAGGACCACCGGUGGCGAAGGCGUCUCACUAGAACGAAUCCGACGGUGAGGGACGAAGCCCUGGGGCGCAAACGGGAUUAGAUACCCCGGUAGUCCAGGGUGUAAACGCUGCGGGCUUGGUGUUGGGGUCCUUUGAGGGCGCCCAGUGCCGGAGAGAAGUUGUUAAGCCUGCUGCUUGGGGAGUACGUCCGCAAGGAUGAAACUUAAAGGAAUUGGCGGGGGAGCACCGCAACGGGAGGAGCGUGCGGUUCAAUUGGAUUCAACGCCGGAA
rnacentral:rRNA from 1 species